UCCUGGGGGAGGCAGCAGUGGGGAAUUUUGGACAAUGGGCGCAAGCCUAAUCCAGCAAUGCCGCGUGUGUGAAGAAGGCCUUCGGGUUGUAAAGCACUUUUGUCCGGAAAGAAAUCCUCUGGGUUAAUACCUCGGGGGGAUGACGGUACCGGAAGAAUAAGCACCGGCUAACUACGUGCCAGCAGCCGCGGUAAUACGUAGGGUGCGAGCGUUAAUCGGAAUUACUGGGCGUAAAGCGUGCGCAGGCGGUUUUGUAAGACCGAUGUGAAAUCCCCGGGCUCAACCUGGGAACUGCAUUGGUGACUGCAAGGGCUAGAGUAUGGCAGAGGGGGGUAGAAUUCCACGUGUAGCAGUGAAAUGCGUAGAGAUGUGGAGGAAUACCGAUGGCGAAGGCAGCCCCCUGGGCCAACACUGACGCUCAUGCACGAAAGCCUGGGGAGCAAACAGGAUUAGAUACCCUGGUAGUCCACGCCCUAAACGAUGUCAACUAGUUGUUGGGUAUUCAUCCUUAGUGAACGCUGCUAACGCGUGAAGUUGACCGCCUCUGGAGUACAGUCGCGGGAUUAAA
rnacentral:rRNA from 1 species